CCUACGGGGGGCAGCAGUGAGGAAUAUUGGUCAAUGGGCUUACGCCUGAACCAGCCAAGUCGCGUGAGGGAAGACUGCCCUAUGGGUUGUAAACCUCUUUUGUCAGGGAGCAAUUGGCGCUACGUGUAGCGUUACCGAGAGUACCUGAAGAAAAAGCAUCGGCUAACUCCGUGCCAGCAGCCGCGGUAAUACGGAGGAUGCGAGCGUUAUCCGGAUUGAUUGGGUUUAAAGGGUGCGUAGGCGGAAUGCCAAGUCAGCGGUAAAAUCGCGGGGCUCAACCUCGCUCCGCCGUUGAAACUGGCGUUCUUGAGUGGGCGAGAAGUAUGCGGAAUGCGUGGUGUAGCGGUGAAAUGCAUAGAUAUCACGCAGAACUCCGAUUGCGAAGGCAGCAUACCGGCGCCCAACUGACGCUGAAGCACGAAAGCGUGGGUAUCGAACAGGAUUAGAUACCCGGGUAGUC
rnacentral:rRNA from 1 species